rfam:Myotis lucifugus cont2.50689, whole genome shotgun sequence.
GGUCUAGUGCUGUGUGGAAGACUAGUGAUUUUGUUGUUCUGGUGUACUAUGACAACAAGUCACAGCUUCCUCAUAGCGCGGACU